rnacentral:lncRNA from 1 species
GGUUAUUCUGGAAGUGAUGAAGAGGAUGAGAGAAUAUUAUGACCUGAUGAAGAGCCCAGUGUGAGGUGAAACUUCAAAAAUCAAGAGGAGCCUAGAGCGAGGUGGAGCUUCAGAUGGAGGUGGAUCGGCAUAAGAUGCGAGACUCGAAAGGAUGAGAGGCGAUAUCACAUGGUGAGAUUCCUAUUAUCGCAAGAGGAUACCCCGAGU